CCUACGGGAGGCAGCAGUAGGGAAUAUUGCUCAAUGGGGGAAACCCUGAAGCAGCAACGCCGCGUGGAGGAUGAAGGUUUUCGGAUUGUAAACUCCUUUUGUUAGAGAAGAUAAUGACGGUAUCUAACGAAUAAGCACCGGCUAACUCCGUGCCAGCAGCCGCGGUAAUACGGAGGGUGCAAGCGUUACUCGGAAUCACUGGGCGUAAAGCGCGCGUAGGCGGGAUAGCAAGUCAGAUGUGAAAUCCUAUGGCUUAACCAUAGAACUGCAUUUGAAACUGUUAUUCUAGAGUAUGGGAGGGGUAGGUGGAAUGCUUGGUGUAGGGGUAAAAUCCGUAGAGAUCAAGAGGAAUACUCAUUGCGAAGGCGACCUGCUAGAACAUAACUGACGCUGAUGCGCGAAAGCGUGGGGAGCAAACAGGAUUAGAUACCCGGGUAGUC
rnacentral:rRNA from 1 species